CAGCAGCCGCGGUAAUACAGAGGGUGCAAGCGUUAAUCGGAUUUACUGGGCGUAAAGCGUGCGUAGGCGGUUUGUUAAGUCGGUUGUGAAAGCCCUGGGCUUAACCUGGGAAUUGCAGUCGAUACUGGCAGGCUAGAGAACGGUAGAGGGAGGCGGAACUCCAGGUGUAGCGGUGAAAUGCGUAGAUAUCUGGAAGAACACCGAUGGCGAAGGCAACCUCCUGGGCCUGUUCUGACGCUGAGGCACGAAAGCGUGGGUAGCAAACAGGAUUAGAUACCCUGGUAGUCCACGCUGUAAACGAUGAGAACUUGACGUCGGGUCGCUUAGCGAUUCGGUGUCGAAGCUAACGCGCUAAGUUCUCCGCCUGGGGAGUACGGCCGCAAGGUUGAAACUCAAAGGAAUUGAC
rnacentral:rRNA from 1 species